rnacentral:rRNA from 1 species
GAUGAACGCUGGCGGCGUGCCUAAUACAUGCAAGUCGAGCGAACCUCUUCGGAGGUUAGCGGCGGACGGGUGAGUAACACGUGGGUAACCUGCCUGUAAGACUGGGAUAACUUCGGGAAACCGAAGCUAAUACCGGAUACUUUUUUGAGUCGCAUGACUCGAAAUGGAAAGACGGCUUCGGCUGUCACUUACAGAUGGACCCGCGUCGCAUUAGCUAGUUGGUGAGGUAACGGCUCACCAAGGCGACGAUGCGUAGCCGACCUGAGAGGGUGAUCGGCCACACUGGGACUGAGACACGGCCCAGACUCCUACGGGAGGCAGCAGUAGGGAAUCUUCGGCAAUGGGCGAAAGCCUGACCGAGCAACGCCGCGUGAGUGAUGAAGGCUUUCGGGUCGUAAAACUCUGUUGUUAGGGAAGAACAAGUACGAGAGUAACUGCUCGUACCUUGACGGUACCUAACCAGAAAGCCACGGCUAACUACGUGCCAGCCGCCGCGGUAAAAC